AUGCUAUGCAAAGAAACAAGAUGUCCGCACAAAAAUCUUUUGAUUAGUCUCUAAUAUCCUAGGUGUAUUUUGAAAAAUUAAAAUUAAUAUUUUUUUUAAAUCAAUCGUGCCAAUGAUCUUUGGAAACGGCACCAAACUUUGAUCGCUAUCAUAGGCAAUCAAAGUUGAUUACCGAUUCAAAACUAUAUAGAUAUUAGUGAGUGGGGAUCGUAUCCACAGAGAUCGUGGAUAGAAUUGUGGUUACAGGAGAGUUAAGAUCAUUAGAUUAAAAGCAUUGCAA
rnacentral:lncRNA from 1 species